CCCUUAGAUGUUCUGGGCCGCACGCGCGCUACACUGACGAAGUCAGCGAGCAUCUCCUUCGCCGAAAGGUGCGGGGAAUCUUGUGAAACUUUGUCGUGCUGGGGAUUGAUUUUUGAAAUUCUUGAUCAUCAACGAGGAAUUCCUAGUAAGCGCAAGUCAGCAGCUUGCGUUGAUUACGUCCCUGCCCUUUGUACACACCGCCCGUCGCUACUACCGAUUGAAUGUUCCGGUGAGCUCUUCGGACUGCGCGGUCUGCAGUUUCUGCGUUCCGUGCGGAAAGUUGCGCAAACCUUAACAUUUAGAGGAAGGAGAAGUCGUAACA
rnacentral:rRNA from 1 species